GGGGCUGAUUCUGGAUUCGACGGGAUUUGCGAAACCCAAGGUGCAUGCCGAGGGGCGGUUGGCCUCGUAAAAAGCCGCAAAAAAUAGUCGCAAACGACGAAAACUACGCUUUAGCAGCUUAAUAACCUGCUUAGAGCCCUCUCUCCCUAGCCUCCGCUCUUAGGACGGGGAUCAAGAGAGGUCAAACCCAAAAGAGAUCGCGUGGAAGCCCUGCCUGGGGUUGAAGCGUUAAAACUUAAUCAGGCUAGUUUGUUAGUGGCGUGUCCGUCCGCAGCUGGCAAGCGAAUGUAAAGACUGACUAAGCAUGUAGUACCGAGGAUGUAGGAAUUUCGGACGCGGGUUCAACCCCCGCCAGCUCCACCA
rnacentral:tmRNA from 1 species